UUAUUUUUUUUUCUAUUAGACUCCUAUAAAUGUAUGCACGACAAUAUUUAUUUAAGCAUCUGAACUUCAUCGUGUUGCACUAUAUAUGUUUAUAAAUAUGGUUAAGCUAGAAAUAAUUUACAUAAAGUUAAAAAAAGUUACCGGUAGCUGUUUUAAUGUAUCAUAUUUUUAACUUUAUGAUAAUUGAUAACAAAUUAUUUAUGAUUGGGUUGGCUCACAUGGAAUAUUCUACGCUUCUAGAGUUCGUUAGAUCUAUGAGACGACUGCGCACUUUACUAUUAAGAUGUCGCGGGGUUUAAAUAAACUUUUUAGGCUUCAGAAUCAGCGUCACGAACUAUCUUUGAUUCAAAAAAAAAUUCGGAAAAAAUAAAAAUGUUCAUAAAUAUGUAAAGAUACAUGGAGAAGAGAUAGAUGUAUGUACGAUUAAUGUAAGUAAAGGUUCGACGGGAAUAUAUUUAUAUAUAUUGAUGUCGGGCGAGAGUGCAAACUACUUUCAACGACAAAUAAAUAUGCUAAUGACAUUUAACAAACUUCAAAUGCCAUGCAUCUUCGCCUCUUUGCGUGGGACACUGAAGAACUAAGUUUUCUUAACUUUUAUAUCGAAGUACUGCUCUGCUGAGUAGGCUCAGUGAGUGAGAAUAUGAGGUGUGUGACACGAGAUGGGUAGUACAAGAUGUUUUACAGUGUAACAGAGAAAGAAAUAAAAAGGAGAAGGGUGGCGAAGAUAAACCGGUGAAAACUGGGUGAUGUAAAAGAGAAGAAAAAGCAUUCUCUCAAAUAAUAUAAAAUUCAAGGGGAAGUUGAUAAGCCGGUGCGAGUAAAAACUUUUCACUCUUGGAGCUCUAUUUCUUAUUGUAAUUAAUGCAUAUCGGCUUAGCUGGAAUUGUAACCGGAGGUGAAACCCUUUUUCACGUCUGCAGCCUUGAGUCUUCUUUGGAUUUAGACGAAAUAAGAUGCUAUAUCCCUUUCACUUAUUUUAUACUGGUGUUUGCGCUUUCUUCUGGAUACUUACGAAUAUUUGGGUAUCUCUAUAUGUAUAUUCAGUCUGUCACCAGCCGGCUGUGGGAAUUAUGACAUGACAUUUUGGACCGUCACUGGCAUAUUGUGCGGAUCAAAACACCACAUGCCGUCGGCUGUCGCGGUUUGAUUUUGCCCGGAAACAGACCGCGCACACGAGGAGGCCACAUACGUCAGUGACAGCCAAACAGACAACAUGAUAAGCGCCAGCAGUCCUUUAUUAGUAUUGCAUGUCCUUUAUGGAAAUCCAGGAUCGCUAUGGUUUGCUGGAUGACCAGAAGGCUUAUGUACGAACAUGAAACGAAAAUGGAACGGUGGAAUAUAAUGCGCGAUGUUUAAUUUACACGGGAUGGCUGUUGGCGAGACAACUAGUGCGGCGAGUUGGCAAAAAGAAUCGUAUGUGAUUCUCUUAAUGAGAGUACAGAGUAAAGCUUUCUUUGGGUGAUGCGAGCGGUGGUUGUGCCAGCCGCAAAAGACGUAUCAGGCGAGCUAAACGCAACGGGCGGUAUUCUCAUCCUUUAUAUACAUUUAUAUAUAUGUAUAUACAUAGAAACAUCGUCAUCUAUACCAUGGAACCAGUAGCAGCAAAGGCACCAGCAUCCUGCCCUCAUUUUUUUCACGGAGAUUUCUUCAUGCGUUCGAGAAUAAAUGAGAUUAAAAAUUCUCGAUUGAAAAUCAAUACCAGGGGUUCCGAAAAGAUACAGAGAUAGAGCUUAAAAAUACACGUGGUUUUGUGCGUACACAUGACAUCUAUCUUCAUCCAUCAACGAUAGCCACUAGUGAAUUUACUUUGAUGCCUUUGGUUAUAAAAUCUAGAUUAAUUCCCGAGUCGAAAUUUAAGUCGUAGAUUCAACGUUUUGAACGUUGAAAUCGUAGAUUCAACGUUUUGAACGUUGAAAUCGUAAUUUGAACGUAUUGAACGUUGAAAUCGUAGUUUGAACGUAUUGAACGUUGAAAUCGUAGUUUGACCGUAUUGAAUGUUUUAAAGGCGGCAACUCAAAAGGUUCAAACUCUUUCCAAUAAAUAUUUACAAGUGGGGCCAAUGAUUUUAAUUUUAAUUUUUUUGAACGAAAUUUCUAUUUGAUUUUAUUGAUAUAUUUUUUUUUCUUGAAAAAUACAUAAAAAAAUGAACAAUUAAAAAAAAAAAAGUUGAUUAUCACAAUUUUUACAAAUUUUCAAAAAAAUUUAUAAAUUUUCAAAAAAAUUUUGAUAUUCAACUAGAAAUUGUGCACCAAAAAUGAAAUUGCCUACUGAAAAAAUCCAUAA